GGAGGUCGAUCGAGGUACAAGUAAGGUUUCGGAAUAACCGAAACACAGAUCCGAAAAGAAUACCAGCUCGAGGAUUCGAAAGGAUAGGAAGACAAUUGGAGAGUCAACACACUAUCAACUAGACAAGCUUUGGUAUAAAGACUUUGUUUGUUUUGUUCAAUGGCAUGUAUAGUAUUUUUGAGUAUUUUGUUAUAUGUGUUAUUUGAUUUGCCAAAUGAAGGCAUGUAGAAUAUGUUUAUCUCUUUAUAUAUGCCUAUGAAAAUUGGCUUAA